CCAACCCCCUGUUACCAAGCAACAAUCAAUAGGCAGUACUGCUACAGUUACUAAUAUUUCCACAGUAGCCUCAAAACCUAAUACCAAUCAGACUCAACCAACAAGAAACUUACCUAAACCAUGUUUUAGAUGUGGUGAAAAGUAUUUUCCGGGCAUCAAUGUAAGUCAAAGACAUUGAAUGCUUUGUGUAUGGAUGGGAAAGAUGAGGAAUUGGAUGAGGAGUGGCAUGAUGUGGGGGUUGAUAUAGAAGAAUUGGGAGAGGCUGGUUCCACCUUAUCUGUUCAUGCUUUAGAGGGUAGUCAUGGGGCUGACACUAUAAGAAUGUUAGGGAUUCACAAAAAUAGGCAAUUGGUGAUCCUCAUUGAUAGUGGUAGUACCACUAGUUUUAUGGACAAGAGGAUAGCACAGGAACUGAAAUUAGACUUAGUGCAGAUUCCAUUUAAAGCAGUUACUGUUGCUGAUGGAAGAAAAUUGGGUUGUAACCAUCUAUGUCAACAAUUUAAAUGGAAAAUGCAGCAUAAUGACUAUAUGUUUGACUUCAAAAUAUUGGAGUUAGGUGGAUUUGACAUGAUUUUGGGAGUUGAUUGGUUAAAAAAUCAUAAUCCUGUUCUUUUUUAUUUUGCUACAUCUUGUAUUACAAUUGCAAAGGAUGGCCAACGCAUUCAAUUGCAGGGAAUUGGUGAGGAAAAUUUGCAAUCUGGUUUGUGGCAUUCUGAUAAUUUGUUGAGCAAAGGAGGGGUGGAUUUUCAAACUCCUUUAUUCUGUGUUGUGAAUUCCAGUCUGUCAAUAGAUUCUUUGACUACUGCAACAGCUAUUUCUGUUCCAAAUGAGAGGCUGCAGGAUUUAAUUCAGAAGUACAAGGGUGUUUUUAUAGAACCUAAGGGGUUGCCUCCAUUUAGGAGUCACAAUCAUGCUAUUCCCUUACAAUCAAAUGCUCAGCCCAUCAAUAUUAGACCCUACAGGUAUCCUUAUUAUCAAAAGGCUGAAAUAGAAAAACUUGUAGCUGAUAUGAUAGAAUCUUCAAUAAUUCAGCCUAGCACUAGCCCAUAUUCCUCUCCAGUUCUUUUGGUGAAGAAAAAAGAUAGCACAUGGAGGUUUUGCAUUGAUUAUAGAAGGUUGAAUGAUCAAACAAUAAAAGAUAAGUUUCCCAUCCCUAUUAUUGAAGAUCUAUUGGAUGAAUUGAAUGGGGCUAAAUAUUUUUUCAAAAUUGAUUUGACAGCAGGCUAUCACCAAAUUAGGAU
rnacentral:misc_RNA from 1 species